rnacentral:lncRNA from 1 species
AUGAUCCCGUGGUCCCUCCCUGAAUCCUGUGACUGGGCCAACGUGGCCGCCGCCGGCGCCGGCAUGGCGUUGCAGCCGUCUCUCAAAUCAACCCUGCCCCGUUACCCCAAUCUGGUUCCAACCAGCCAACAUGCUAAUUCCAGAAGGCAGGUUUAUGGGCAUUCCUGGCACAAGCAAAACGUCUCGCAGCUGCAUGUGAAAGAGCCGACCGUGGUGGUCCGAUUGGAAAACCUGAAAGAGCAUAAGGAGAGUCAAAUGACCCCCCAGGAGAAAAAGGAAGUCCCGCCAUAUAGGGAAAAGGCUGCCGCGUGGCCCAAAGAGCCCUGCGAGGGGCCUCUGGACCUGUCGGACCGAGGAAAGCCCAAAUCCGCACAGACUCCAAGAGAUGCUUCUCCACUGAGCACACAAGACGCAGAGACGGGUCGGAAAAGCCCGGACAAGGACGCGAGCGCUCUCUCCCCCCGCGCGGCUCCAUCCCCUCCGCCCGGCGCCCCGUCCUUGUCCUUGCCGCCAGCCAGGCAGCAGGAGGAGGAGCCCACGGGGGAUCACAACCACAAGCUGAUCAAAGAGCAGGAGCCGAGGGAGGAGGUGAACGGAAAGGCGGAGCAAAGCGCCGAGAAGAAGGUGCCUGUCCUCACGAUAUCGCUGCGUCCAGUGAUGCUGGAGAACUCCACUCUGCAGAAGCAGGACUCUGUGUCGUCUAAUGGGAAGUCAUCGUCGCCAGCUGUCGAGCCCGGGAGCAGCUCGGACGAGGUGGAGUGUGUCUCGGGACAAGAAAGCAGCCAGGGCUGCAAGAGGAAGAGGCCGGCAGUCGAGGCCGAAGCCGACAGACACUCAGACACCGACAAUGCUCAGCAUGAACGGAAAAUCAAGAUCACAGUAAGAAGUGAGGAGAAGAGCCCGAGCUAAAGACGACGGCACUCGCCGUUUGAACCAACGCGUUGUGUGACUUCAGCCACAUAUGUUGUUUGUAUUGGCCACUUGGGGGCAGCGCAACAAGCUGAAGGCCGGAGCUGAGGAACUGAGAAACAACACUGAUAAGAACUGCAGGUUCUCACCCCCCUGCACCUCGUUGAUCAGCUGGUCAGAAGCGUUGGGUGGUGUAGUUACAGCUCUAUUAGACAGGGAACUCAAAAGGCAAAGCUGCAAAAUCUUAACAAUGACGCAAAGGACACUACAAUUCCUGCAAGGCUGAGAGCUGAUUUAUAUGCAAUGAAUAAUUAGCCCAAUUGGGGCAGUUUCCUCCUGGCAUUUUUAAAGCUGGAGGGUUUUUCCCCGUUUUUGUCCCAGUCAACUCGCUCCAACUUCCUCAUAUGAGCCCGAACAGGAAUAGCCGAAUGUCAAUGUGAAAUAGAUAAAAAUAUAAGAUAUUUGCAGCAACAUUACUGCCAUUAUGAGGCAGAACGGCAGAACACAGCGCCCCCUGGCUGCUGCUGCAAGGUGACGUCAUUUACAGGCAAAGCACUUCAUCAACAAUCCAACAAAGGGCCUUGGGAGAAUGUGUGACCGUCCAACUGGGUUUUUUCUGUGAUGUUUAUAUGAUAUCGUACAAAUUCUUAGGGUUGGUAAACUAUUCUACCUCCAUCUUAAGGCUUGACUAAAGUUAAUCAACAGACUUGUUUUUUAUUCUUAUUUAGUUGGUUAAUCUAAACUAAUUUUUUGUUCAGCGUCUACGAGCUGUUUGCUGUAAAUCUUGAGGCAUCGUCACACAUUUUGCAACACCUACGAUCGACUGAUGACAGGUGCAAACAGAUAACGAUGGUUUUACAGGAAGUGAAUGGAAUUUGUCCGCUUUUUUUUAAAGGUCGGAGCACAACCUCUAGUGGAUUUUUACACUUUGACCGCUGUUCACAAACCAUUCACCUUCUUCUCCAGUUUUCACUCCGUUCUUCUGCUUCCACUGAGCAUAUUUAUAGUUCUUUCACUUUCCUGGCAAUGCUGUCACAGCCUAUUUUUGCUACAGAAGCCCCCUUCCUGCAUCCCCCAACCCCCAGCCUGUCUUAAGUGACCAACAAAGAAAAAAAAAGACUUGUUCCUCUUCCUCUUUUUCAAUUUCAGAAUGCACAUAUUUUGCAAGUAUUAACUUUCCACUUACAGUUGUGUCAGCUUGUGCUCCACUAAGGGGGUGUUUGAGCUGAAUUACAUUUAUACACAUACUGUAAUUUUUACAAUAUGGUCCUGUAAAUCAACAGGUGUAAAAACCUCUAAUAUGUUAAUAGUAAUAUUUACUGUGGAAAAUGGUCAUGCAGGGCUUUUUUUGUUUGUCUUUUAGCAUUAUGCACUUGCUGUUUGUGUGCAACCACCUGAAGUGUGUGUUCAGACCCAUUGGACGCCAUUAAAUCCAGCACUUGCUCAAAGAUGCAGCCGCCUUUUCUCUGUUAAUUCAAAUGUGACUGGCUGUAAAAUGUGCCAUUUCUCACAAUCCAUUAACAUUGUUGACUAAUGGUCUUCCGACAUGUAACUCAGAUGCAUUUGGCUUCUGUGUGUUUCUUAUUUCUUUGUUCUGUUUUAAAUAAACCUUUUAGAAAUUCAGUUUGUUUUCGCUUC